rnacentral:rRNA from 1 species
CAGCAGCCGCGGUAAGACAGAGGAUGCAAGCGUUAUCCGGAAUGAUUGGGCGUAAAGCGUCUGUAGGUGGCUUUUCAAGUCCGCCGUCAAAUCCCAGGGCUCAACCCUGGACAGGCGGUGGAAACUACCAAGCUGGAGUACGGUAGGGGCAGAGGGAAUUUCCGGUGGAGCGGUGAAACGCGUUGAGAUCGGAAAAAACACCAACGGCGAAAGCACUCUGCUGGGCCGACACUGACACUGAGAGACGAAAGCUAGGGGAGCAAAUGGGAUUAGAUACCCCUGUAGUCCCUGUCUCUUAUAC